GCCAUCAUAGUUCAGUGGUUCGAACAAUGGUCUUGUAAACCAGGGGACGUGAGUUCAUUCCUCACUGGUGGUU